rnacentral:rRNA from 1 species
UACAGAGGGGGCAAGCGUUGUUCGGAAUCAUUGGGCGUAAAGCGCGUGUAGGCGGUCCGGUAAGUCCGCUGUGAAAGUCGGGGGCUCAACCCUCGAAUGCCGGUGGAUACUGUCGGGCUAGAGUGCGGAAGAGGCGAGUGGAAUUCCUGGUGUAGCGGUGAAAUGCGCAGAUAUCAGGAGGAACACCAAUUGCGAAGGCAGCUCGCUGGGACGUUACUGACGCUGGAGACGCGAAAGCGUGGGGAGCAAACAGG